UAGGCGACCGGCGCACGGGCGAGUAACACGUAUCCAACCUGCCGAUAACUCGGGGAUAGCCUUUCGAAAGAAAGAUUAAUAUCCGAUAGCAUAUUGAGAUCGCAUGAUUUUGAUAUUAAAGAAUUUCGGUUAUCGAUGGGGAUGCGUUCCAUUAGUUUGUUGGCGGGGUAACGGCCCACCAAGACUACGAUGGAUAGGGGUUCUGAGAGGAAGGUCCCCCACAUUGGAACUGAGACACGGUCCAA
rnacentral:rRNA from 1 species